rnacentral:rRNA from 1 species
GACGAACGCUGGCGGCGUGCCUAAUACAUGCAAGUCGAGCGAAGUUUUUCUGGUGCUUGCACUAGAAAAACUUAGCGGCGAACGGGUGAGUAACACGUAAAGAACCUGCCUCAUAGACUGGGACAACUAUUGGAAACGAUAGCUAAUACCGGAUAACAGUAUUUCUCGCAUGAGAGAUAUUUAAAAGUUGGUUAUGCUAACACUAUGAGAUGGCUUUGCGGUGCAUUAGCUAGUUGGUGGGGUAAAGGCCCACCAAGGCGACGAUGCAUAGCCGACCUGAGAGGGUGAUCGGCCACACUGGGACUGAGACACGGCCCAGACUCCUACGGGAGGCAGCAGUAGGGAAUCUUCCGCAAUGGGCGAAAGCCUGACGGAGCAACGCCGCGUAAGUGAAGAAGGAUUUCGGUUCGUAAAGCUCUGUUGUUAGGGAAGAAUGGAUAUGUAGUAACUAUACAUGUAAGAGACGGUACCUAACCAGAAAGCCACGGCUAACUACGUG